AUUGAACGCUGGCGGCAGGCUUAACACAUGCAAGUCGAGCGGGCGAGGUUGCUUCGGUAACUGAGCUAGCGGCGGACGGGUGAGUAAAGCUUAGGAAUCUGCCUAUUAGUGGGGGACAACAUUCCGAAAGGGAUGCUAAUACCGCAUACGUCCUACGGGAGAAAGCAGGGGAUCACUUGUGACCUUGCGCUAAUAGAUGAGCCUAAGUCGGAUUAGCGAGUUGGUGGGGUAAAGGCCUACCAAGGGGAAGAUCUGUAGCGGGUCUGAGAGGAUGAUCCGCCACAGUGGGAAUGAGACACGGCCCAGACUCCUACGGGAGGCAGCAGUGGGGAAUAUUGGACAAUGGGGGGAACCCUGAUCCAGCCAUGCCGCGUGUGUGAAGAAGGCCUUUUGGUUGUAAAGCACUUUAAGCGAGGAGGAGGCUUACCUGGUUAAUACCUGGGAUAAGUGGACGUUACUCGCAGAAUAAGCACCGGCUAACUCUGUGCCAGCCGCCGCCGUAA
rnacentral:rRNA from 1 species